rnacentral:rRNA from 1 species
GAUGAACGCUGGCGGCGUGCCUAAUACAUGCAAGUCGAACGCUGAAGGAGGAGCUUGCUCUUCUGGAUGAGUUGCGCACGGGUGAGUAACGCGUAGGUAACCUGCCUGGUAGCGGGGGAUAACUAUUGGAAACGAUAGCUAAUACCGCAUGACAACAGUUAUUGCAUGAUAACUGUUUAAAAGGGGCAACUGCUCCACUACCAGAUGGACCUGCGUUGUAUUAGCUAGUUGGUGAGGUAACGGCUCACCAAGGCGACGAUACAUAGCCGACCUGAGAGGGUGAUCGGCCACACUGGGACUGAGACACGGCCCAGACGCCUACGGGAGGCAGCAGUAGGGAAGCUUCGGCAAGGGACGGAAGUCGGACCGAGCAACGCCGCGUGAGUGAAGAAGGAUUUCGGAUCGUAAAGCACUGUUGUAAGAGAAGAACGAGUGUGAGAGUGGAAAGUUCACACGGUGACAGGAUCUUACCAGAGAGGGACGGCUAACUACGUG